GGACAGGUGGCCGAGUGGUUUAAGGCACCACGUUGGAAGCGUGGCGUGCGGGCAACCGUACCGAGGGUUCGAAUCCCUCCCUGUCCG
rnacentral:tRNA from 2 species